rnacentral:rRNA from 1 species
UACGGGGGGAGCAAGCGUUGUUCGGAUUUACUGAGCGUAAAGGGCGCGUAGGCGGUAGCACAAGUCAGUUGUGAAAUCUCCGGGCUUAACUCGGAAAGGUCAACUGAUACUGUGCGACUAGAGUGCAGAAGGGGCAACUGGAAUUCUCGGUGUAGCGGUGAAAUGCGUAGAUAUCGAGAGGAACACCUGCGGCGAAGGCGGGUUGCUGGGCUGACACUGACGCUGAGGCGCGAAAGCCAGGGGAGCGAACGGG